GAUGAAGAACGCAGCGAAAUGCGAUAAGUAAUGUGAAUUGCAGAAUUCAGAGAAUCAUCGAAUCUUUGAACGCACAUUGCGCCCCUUGGUAUUCCGGGGGGCAUGCCUGUUCGAGCGUCAUUAUAACCCCUCAAGCUCAGCUUGGUGUUGGGGCCUGCCGACUGGCAGCCCUUAAAAUCAGUGGCGGCGCCAUCUGGCUCUAAGCGUAGUAAUUUCUCUCGCUAUAGAGUCCCGGUGGAUGCUUGCCAGCAACCCCCAACUUUCUAUGGUUGACCUCGGAUCAGGUAGGGAUACCCGCUGAACUUAAGCAUAUCAAUAAGCGGAGGA
rnacentral:misc_RNA from 1 species